rnacentral:rRNA from 1 species
UUGUUUGCGGGCUCGGUUGCUGAUGACAUGGAGCACGACGAAUUGGAAGACUCAAGUCACAAUACCUAUGUCAACCAUGAUCCCUUGGACUAUGUGUACUCAAACCUCCCCGACAGUACACACAUCCUCAAGCACGCCGCGAACUGCGACCACUGCAAGGCCAAGAAGUUUGUGUCCGAGGCCCCGGGAUUUUGCUGUCGCAAUGGGCAGAUUGAGCUGAAGCAACCGGAGCCCAUCCCGGAGCUAAUGAGGCCUUGGUCUAGCCAGGAUGCGGACUCUAGGCAUUUUCGAGAGAACAUACGGUUCUUCAACGACCACUUCUCCUUCACAACGCUC